GUGUGACACAUGAGGUGAAUGUUUAACGCGUGUGGGUCACGUGCUAAAGGUGCGGUCCAUCCCCAGGGUGCCCGACGCGUGUGACAGCGACACUCUCAUUUGUUUGGUGAAGCGCGCAGCACGAACAGGAGUCUCGAUGUCUUUCGAUCUGUCGUCAGCUAUAGGUGGGGAGGAUGAGGUGAAGAAGGAAGAAGCUCAGAAGGAUGAGAUAACUUGGCCCUGGAACAAGAACAAGGAUAAGGAGGGCUCCAAGGACAAGUCUGACAAAAAGCACAAGUCUGAAGAUGGCAAAUCUGACAAAAAGCACAAGUCUGAAGAUGGCAAAUCUGACAAAAAGCACAAGUCUGAAGGAGGCAAGUCCCACGAAAAGCACAAGCACCACGGCGGCGGAGAGCACAAGAAGAAGAAGAACAAGGAUAAAAAGGGAUCGAAGGAUGGAAACAAGGAAGGCCAUAAAUCGGGCUCCUCAUCCUCCUCAUCCUCCUCCUCCUCCUCCUCAGGCUCCUCCUCCGGCAGUGACAAGGUUUGUGAUGUCCACCUGAGCUGAACCCGGAAGGAGGCGUGGUUUGGGGGGCGUGGUCUGGAGGGGGCGUGGUUUAAUGCAGGUACUUAAAGUCACAUCUCUGUGGACUCGGUGGUUUGUGAAAGUGCACGAACAGGAGACACAAUGAGCGGCCACGGUAAGAAGAAGGAUGGAAAUAAGGACGGAUGCAAGGGGAAGAAGCAUGACAAGUCCAAGGGCGACAAAGUCAAGAAGGACAAGAAUAAGGAGGGAAAGAAGAAAAGCUCGGGGAAAGAAUCCGGCUCAAGCUCAAGCUCGAGCUCGAGCUCAGAAUCCAGCUGUGAUGAGAAAUGAUGCCGCGAGCGAACUGCUGUCAGUCGAUUGACUUUUAUACUCACCCUUCAGGUCAUCGCUGUCAAAGAACGAUUGACCCGUCUUGUGUAAACAAACCUGCUGAUUCCUAGUAAAAUUAAAAAGUAAAAUGUUCUGUCAAAAAUAAAGUGCAUUUCCUUCACCACGAGAAA